AUUCAGCUGAUGAUUCGCAGAUGAGACGAAACGCGCGUCCUCGAU
rfam:Schistosoma mattheei strain Denwood, Zambia genome assembly, scaffold: SMTD_scaffold0000890